CCUACGGGGGGCAGCAGUGUGGAAUAUUGGUCAAUGGACGAGAGUCUGAACCAGCCAAGUAGCGUGAAGGAUGACUGCCCUAUGGGUUGUAAACUUCUUUUAUAAAGGAAUAAAACGAGGCACGUGUGCCUUUUUGCAUGUACUUUAUGAAUAAGGAUCGGCUAACUCCGUGCCAGCAGCCGCGGUAAUACGGAGGAUCCGAGCGUUAUCCGGAUUUAUUGGGUUUAAAGGGAGCGUAGAUGGGUUGUUAAGUCAGUUGUGAAAGUUUGCGGCUCAACCGUAAAAUUGCAAUUGAUACUGGCAGUCGUGAGUACAGUUGAGGUAGGCGGAAUUCGUGGUGUAGCGGUGAAAUGCUUAGAUAUCACGAAGAACCCCGAUUGCGAAGGCAGCUUACUAAACUGUGACUGACAUUGAUGCUCGAAAGUGUGGGUAUCAAACAGGAUUAGAUACCCUUGUAGUC
rnacentral:rRNA from 1 species